ensembl:lncRNA
CAGUUGUAUAGUGGGACAGUGCCUCUGGAUUGUGAACUUCACCUAUCUUUCCAAUGAAGAUGGCUGGAGUGGGCUAGAGUUGUAUAUUUCCCCUUUCCUAUGUGGAAGGUUACAGCUGAUUAGAGUUGGGUAUUUCCCUUCUCCCAGGUGAGCUAGGCUCUGCUAAUACCCCAGCCAAUUAGACUCUGGUUAACUAAUUUCUCCUGUGGGCAGACUUUAUUAAGAAGAAUAAGAGCAUGCUCUGACGCACUUCGAAAUGGUUCCUCUUCUCCUGUUGCUGCUGAAAGCACAGGGGGAUUUUUCUCUAGUACUUAAAGUGAGAAACUGCAUGAGCUCCUGGAAGUAAAACUCACUAACCUGUGGGAGCUCCCCCACCAUGACUGGGUUCCCCUGGAGUUUUUAAAUGUCAGAAUUGUCCACACUGAGCCUCCAGCAAUUCGUCAGUUCCAGUUUGGUGUUCCUAUUGCAGCUGGUUCUCUUGCCAGUUUCUGUGCAUGAGACAGCUCAGGGCUCUAUCAAGCCUACCUACUCUAUAUGACCAAGAUAAUCAGCAAAUACACUUCAGUUGUUUCUAAAUGUGUUAUUGGUGAACAGAGGAUGAAAAUGAAAGAAAUCAUUUUAAAAAUGAUUUUGGUAUUUCAUUGACCAUAAUAAGUUGAAUCAUGACCCCUAAAAGAUAGCUCCAUGCCCUAAUAAUUAGAAUGUCUGAAUCAUUAUCUAGUAUGGAAAAAGAAGAAGGCAAGGGAGAAGGCAAUAACAAACCACUUCAGUAUUUUUGUCUUGAGAACCCCAUGGACAGUAUGAAAAGGCAAAAAGGUAUGACACUGAAAGAUGAACUUCCCAGGUCGGUAGGUGCCCGGUAUAUGCUACUGGAGAAGAGUGGAGAAAUAACUCCAGAAGGAAUGAAGAGACAGAGUAAAGCGAGAGGAAAAAAAAAAAAAAAGCCCAGUUGUGGAUGUGACUGGCGAAGGAAGUAAAAUCCCAUGCUGUAAAGAACAGUACUGCAUAGGAACCUGGAAUGUUAGCUCCAUGAAUCAACGCAAAUUGGAAGUGGUCAAAUGAGAUGGCAAGAGUGAAUGUCAACAUUCUAGGAAUCAGCGAAUGGAUGAAUUUAACUCAGAUGACCAUUACAUCAACUACUGUGGGCAAGAAUCCCUUAGAAGAAAUGGGGUAGUCCUCAGAGUCAACAAGAGAGUCUGAAAUGCAGUACUUGAAUGCAAUCUCAAAAAUGACAGAAUGAUCUCUAUUCAUUUCCAAGGCAAACCAUUCAAUAUCACAGUAAUCCAAGUCUAUGCCCAAACCAGUAAUUCUGAAGAAGCUGAAGUUGAAUAGUUCUAUGAAGUCCUAAAAGACUUCUGGAACUAUCUCCCAAAAAAGAUGCCCUUUUCAUUAUAGGGGACUGGAAUGCAAAAGUAGAAAGCCAAGAGAUAUCUGGAGUGAUGGGCAAGUUUGGUUUUGGAGUACAAAAUGAAACAGAGAAAAGGCUCACAGUUUGCCAAGAGAACGCACUGGUCAUAGCAAACACCCUCUUCCAACAACACAAGAGAUGGCUCUACAUGUGGACAUCACUACAUGGUCAAUUCAAAAUCAGAUUGAUUAUAUUCUUUGCAGCUAAAGAUGGAGAAGCUCUAUACAGUCAGCAAAAACAAGACCGGGAGCUGACUAUGGCUCUGAUCAUGAACUCCUUAUUGAAAAAUUUUGAUGUAAACUGAAGAAAGUAGAGAAAACCACUAGACCAUUCAGGUGUGACCUAAAUCAAAUCCCUUAUGAUUAUACAGUGGGAGUGGCAAAUAGAUUCAAGGGAUUAGAUCUGAUAGACAGAGUGCCUGAAGAUUGUAUAGGAGGCCGUGAUCUAGAUCAUCCCCCAGAAGAACUGCAAAAAGGUAAAAUGGUUGUCUGAGGAGGCCUUACAAAUAGCUGAGAAAAGAAGAGAAGCUAAAGGCAAAGGAGAAAAGGAAAGAUAUACCCAUUUGAAUGCAGAGUUCAAGAGAAAAGCAAGGAGAGAUAAGAAAGUAUUCUUAAGUGACCAAUGCAAAUAAACAGAGGAAAAUGAUAGAAUAGGAAAGACUAGAGAUCUCUUCAAGAACAUUAAAAAUAUCAUGGGAACAUUUCAUGCAAAGUUGGGCACAAAGACAGAAAUGGUAUAGACCUAACAGAAGCAGACAAUAUUAAGAAGAGGUGCAAGAAUACACAGAAGAACUAUACAAAAAAGAUCUUCAUGACCCAGAUAAUCACGACAGUGUGAUCAUUCACCUAGAGCCAGACAUCCUGGAAUGAAAAGUCAAGUGGGCCUUAGGA